rnacentral:lncRNA from 1 species
CUCUGCCUUAACUAAACUGUGUGAAAUAGACAAUGAAUAAUGGUCAGCCAAGGUCAUUAAAUCAACUCUACGACAUUUGUCAAAAACCUCCCACGAAGGGUUAUCCAAAAAGGAUUUCAAAUCAAAAGUAGCCAUUUUGAACUACUACACAAGAGCCAACAAAUAGCAAACACUAAUGUUAUAUCAGCUAUGACGCUCAACACUGAACUAAGCACUAUAACAAUCUGCAUGAGCGGUAUGGGUGUCAGUAAAGACAGAUCCCGGCCCACUUAUGUUACGAAUACUCUUUGGCCCUGCAGUCUAGGGGGGAUGGCAACGAGACCCGUAACAUAAAUCAUGCAAAUUAUAAUAGUGAAAAAGUAACAGUGAGAACAAAAACCACAGACAACUGAAAUUUACCGUCAAACACUAAAGGUUUAUUUUUAAACACACGGUAAAGGGGUGUGAGAAAAGGGGCUGAGCUGGACCCAAGGAAAGAAACAACAAUACUCACAGGCUGACGGACAAAGUGACAUGUAGUUGCAAAACAAAAGAGAGAUCUGUAUUGAGAGCGAUACGGAGAGAGAGAUUGAGCACUAAGAGAUUGAUCUUACAGAGAGAGAUUGAACUAAAGAGAAAACAACUGGCUGGGUUUUUAAACCAAGGGAAAGGGAUGUGAUUUAUUGAGGGGAAAGGAGCAGGUGUCUUGGUUGGUGACUGAUUGAUGACUGAUUGGGGAAUGAUGAUUGUCACCUGUGAGGUGAGAAGGAGAGAAAAGAAACACACACACAGGAUACCUGUAUCCGUAACAGCCAUGCUUCCGUGAAACAGAGUAUGUUACAAUCCCUGACGUCUCUCUGGAAGGAAAUCCUCGUCCCCUGAGAUCGUCAUCUUUAUUAUCCAGAGACUGAACAUUAGUGAGUAAUAUACUCAGAAGCGGUGGGUGGUGUGCGCGCCUCCUGAGUUGGACUAGAAGUCCCCUCCGAGUACCUCUCCUCCGCCGGAGGUGUUUUGGGUCAGCCUCUGGAAUCAGUUCAAUUGCCCUGGGGGGUACGAACAAAGGAUCUGAUGCGGGAAAGUCGUAUUCCUGGUCGUAAUGCUGGACCUGAGCCCUAGGACCAUGCCUCAGGACUACCUGGUAUGAUGACUCCUUGCUGUCCCCAGUCCACCUGGCCGUGCUGCUGCUCCAGUUUCAACUGUUCUGCCUGCGGCUAUGGAACCCUGACCUGUUCACCGGACGUGCUUGUUGCACCCUCGACAACUACUAUGAUUAUUAUUAUUUGACCAUGCUGGUCAUUUAUGAACAUUUUAACAUUUUAACAUUUUGACCAUGUUCUGUUAUAAUAUCCACCCUGCACAGCCAGAAGAGGACUGGCCACCCCUCAUAGCCUGGUUCCUCUCUAGGUUUCUUCCUAGGUUUUUGGCCUUUCUAGGGAGUUUUUCCUAGGGAGUUUUUCCUAGCCACCGUGCUUCUUUCACAUGCUUUGCUUGCUGUUUGGGGUUUUAGGCUGGGUUUCUGUACAGCACUUUGAGAAUAUCAGCUGAUGUACGAAGGGCUAUAUAAAAAUAAAUUUGAUUUGAUUUGUAU